GCUUGACUGUAGCUUGUAAUUGGGUUCGGGCUUUUUUGCGCAGCCUAGGUGGGAGGCAACGAUGAUUUUUUUCCGGAAAAUUUAAGCCGUUAGUGAGAGACCACUCUGAAAAGGCUAGAAUCCUAAUAAUGAUCCUUGAAUCAGGACAUUUGACAGUUGCAGGUGGGCAGUUUUACUGGGGCGGUAUUCUCCUAAAAAGUAACGGAGGGGUGCAAAGGUUCCCUCAAGCUGGACGGAAAUCAGCUUAAGAGUGUAAAGGCAAAAGGGAGCUUGACUGCAAGACCUACAAGUCGAGCAGGGGCGAAAGCCGGCCUUAGUGAUCCGACGGUACCACGUGGAAGGGCCGUCGCUCAACGGAUAAAAGUUA
rnacentral:rRNA from 1 species